rnacentral:tRNA from 1 species
CGGGAUGUGGCGCAGCUUGGUUAGCGCGCGUGUCUGGGGGACACGAGGCCGUGGGUUCGAAUCCCACCAUCCCGA